GGGAGCAGAAAUAUGGGAGCUGCUUAAGCCAGCACUUCUACUGAAACGAAGGCUUGUGCAACUGGAGGCUAAGCCCAGACCAAGAGAAGCUCUCUUUUGCCUUGCUCUGAGUCAUGAGGACCUCAAAGAAAGGGAUCCACGCUGCCCUGCCAGCCCUCCUUGUUUGGGGCAGAAUGAACAGGCUCGCAGGGCUCACAGGCAUUCGAGCUGUGUCCUGGCCCUCACUGUUUCCUCUGAAGGAAGAUGAGCACAGCAGAGGAGGAACUUCACCCGUCCAGAGGACUCACACAUGGAGAGUGUGAGUUUCACUGUUUUAGUGGAGAGGCAAUGACACUGGUGAGUCUGUGCAGCUGGUUAGUUAUUUC
rnacentral:lncRNA from 1 species